rnacentral:rRNA from 1 species
UACGUAGGGUGCGAGCGUUGUCCGGAAUUAUUGGGCGUAAAGAGCUUGUAGGCGGUUUGUCGCGUCUGCUGUGAAAUCUCAAGGCUCAACCUUGAGCUUGCAGUGGGGUACGGGCAGACUAGAGGUGUGGUAGGGGAGACUGGAAUUCCUGGUGUAGCGGUGAAAUGCGCAGAUAUCAGGAGGGAACACCGGUGGGCGAAGGCGGGUCUCUGGG